UUGACAGACUACUGACUCAGUGUGUGUUCCUCCCCAGAGGCGGGUGGUGGGGGGGGGGAGGUCUGGGUCAACACUCACCGUCCUGCUCAGCCCCAGGGAGAGACUGGCGGGACCGGUUCUGCCUCAGCCCUAUCUGCUAGAGAACCCGGCGUUUUUUUCCCUCCUCAGAACUCGAUCUCUCCCUGUUACACGGACUCUCACACGGAGGAUGCUUCUUGUCUGCCACUGAGCCAGGAAGCCUGAAACUUUCAGUUUGCCUAAGUUCCUGUGUUAACGCGCUUCCUAAGCCAUGAAAAGAAACAAUGUGGUGUCAUAGUCGUGGGGAAACUGGUCACCAGACAGCCGCUGAUGUUGGACUUGGCAGCACAAACAUCAAAGCUGUGAUUAUAAAUAGGUUUAAAGAAUG